UACGUAGGGGGCAAGCGUUGUCCGGAUUUAUUGGGCGUAAAGAGCGUGUAGGCGGCUUUACAGGUCCGUUGUGAAAACUCGAGGCUCAACCUCGAGACGCCGGUGGAAACCGUAAAGCUAGAGUCCGGAAGAGGAGAGUGGAAUUCCUGGUGUAGCGGUGAAAUGCGCAGAUAUCAGGAGGAACACCGGUGGCGAAGGCGGUUCUCUGGGAAUAUCCUGACGCUGAGGAGCGAAAGUGUGGGGGGCAAACAGG
rnacentral:rRNA from 1 species